GUGGUUGUGGCCCAGUGGUAGAGCACUCAUCUAACAUGUGUGAGGCACUGGGUUCGAUCCUCAGCACCAUA
rnacentral:tRNA from 1 species